AGUGGAGCAGUCUGGUAGCUCGUCGGGCUCAUAACCCGAAGGUCGUCGGUUCAAAUCCGGCUCCCGCAACCA
rnacentral:tRNA from 1 species